GAAUUCAACUCCUACGGGAGGCAGCAGUAGGGAAUCUUCCGCAAUGGACGAAAGUCUGACGGAGCAACGCCGCGUGAGUGAUGAAGGCUUUCGGGUCGUAAAACUCUGUUGUUAGGGAAGAACAAGUGCUAGUUGAAUAAGCUGGCACCUUGACGGUACCUAACCAGAAAGCCACGGCUAACUACGUGCCAGCAGCCGCGGUAAUACGUAGGUGGCAAGCGUUAUCCGGAAUUAUUGGGCGUAAAGCGCGCGCAGGUGGUUUCUUAAGUCUGAUGUGAAAGCCCACGGCUCAACCGUGGAGGGUCAUUGGAAACUGGGAGACUUGAGUGCAGAAGAGGAAAGUGGAAUUCCAUGUGUAGCGGUGAAAUGCGUAGAGAUAUGGAGGAACACCAGUGGCGAAGGCGACUUUCUGGUCUGUAACUGACACUGAGGCGCGAAAGCGUGGGGAGCAAACAGGAUUAGAAACCCUAGUAGUCCAGGCGUU
rnacentral:rRNA from 1 species